GAUGAACGCUGGCGGCGUGCCUAAUACAUGCAAGUUGAGCGAACGGACGAGAAGCUUGCUUCUCUGAUGUUAGCGGCGGACGGGUGAGUAACACGUGGAUAACCUACCUAUAAGACUGGGAUAACUUCGGGAAACCGUAGCUAAUACCGGAUAAUAUUUUGAACCGCAUGGUUCAAAAGUGAAAGACGGUCUUGCUGUCACUUAUAGAUGGAUCCGCGCUGCAUUAGCUAGUUGGUAAGGUAACGGCUUACCAAGGCAACGAUGCAUAGCCGACCUGAGAGGGUGAUCGGCCACACUGGAACUGAGACACGGUCCAGACUCCUACGGGAGGCAGCAGUAGGGAAUCUUCCGCAAUGGGCGAAAGCCUGACGGAGCAACGCCGCGUGAGUGAUGAAGGUCUUCGUAUCGUAAAACUCUGUUAUUAGGGAAGAACAUAUGUGUAAGUAACUGUGCACAUCUUGACGGUACCUAAUCAGAAAGCCACGGCUAACUACGUG
rnacentral:rRNA from 1 species